rnacentral:rRNA from 1 species
UUCGAUUCUGGCUCAGGAUGAACGCUGGCGGCGUGCUUAAUACAUGCAAGUCGAACGGAAGAUAUCGGGAGCUUGCUCUUGAUAUCUUAGGUGGCGGACGGGUGAGUAACGCGUGGGUAACCUGCCUCAUACAGGGGGAUAACAGUUAGAAAUGACUGCUAAAACCGCAUAACAUUGCAGUACCGCAUGAUACUGUGAUCAAAUAUUUAUAGGUAUGAGAUGGGCCCGCGUCUGAUUAGCUAGUUGGUGGGGCAAUGGCCUACCAAGGCGACGAUCAGUAGCCGUACUGAGAGGUAGAACGGCCACAUUGGGACUGAGACACGGCCCAAACUCCUACGGGAGGCAGCAGUAGGGAAUAUUGGACAAUGGGGGAAACCCUGAUCCAGCGAACGCCGCGUGAGUGAAGAAGUUAUUCGUAAUGUAAAGCUCUAUCAGCAGGGACGAUAAUGACGGUACCUGACUAAGAAGCACCGGCUAAAUACGUGCCAGCCGCUGC